CUCCGCGUGGCUCACCAGGAAGGCCGAGUGGGAGGAGCCUAGAAGCAGGAGUGGGAGGGGCCGAAGGAUCUCCUUUUGGAUUUCGCAAAGUGGCAGAGAGUGCCUUGCAAAAGUACUCGGACUCCUGACCAAAGCAACAUUGGACUGCAGACACUUCAGGAUUUCUUGAUGUCUGGAUCACCAGGAUGCCAUGAAGCACUUCAGGGGGCCUUCCUUCAAUUUGUGCCAACUCAUACAGAUCCUCCGUCACCUCUGAUAAGCCCCAAAUCCCUCCUAUGAACCCUGCUUUGGAUCCGGAUCUAGGAUUCAACCAAAUGUGAUGCACAUCCCAUUUUGUCCCCAGAACAGGCAGUGUGAAGGACGGGGCUGGCUGGGUGGUGAUAGAGUGCUAGUAUCCAGGCUAGAGGACUAUCCUUUAAGGCUCUCCACUCUUCAGGAAGACAAUGGAGCCUGAGAGGAAGUGCCUGGUUCAAGAGGGACCAGUAAUAUGUAUUUAAAUCAGAUGUGAGGAACCUGUGGCCCUCCAGAUGUUACUGAACUACAAGUCUCAUCAGCCCCAGUAAGUAUGGCCAAUGGGCAAGGAGGAUGAUAAGAGUCAUAGUUCAGCAAAAUCUGGAAGGCCAAAGGUUCCCUAAAUCUGAUAUAAAGAAUCCAUUAAGGCCUUUUCCUUUUAAUGGGACCAUUUUUUAAUUACUGGAUGUUAUUUUUGAGGUGCCUAACAUUUCUCUAAUCCUGACACUUGGCCACCAUUUUUAAUAAGGCAGCGGUAACUAAUGAUAUGAAUAAAUGUUGAUCUCUUAGAACCUAGGAGACCAAUUUUACAUGUUUUGAUUGUGGCAAAUAUUACCACUUCUAACGUAGCUGGACCCAGAGAUGGUGGAAGAUUCAGAGGUAAUAUUCAUAUUAAUAAUUCCCCUCAACCAAACAGGGCAUAAUUAAAUCUGAUGCACAGGGAAUAAUCAUCCCUUUGUCUCUUCAUGAUGGGCCCACCAUCAUGACAUCUGAUAGAAACCAGAAUACCUUUGGUGCCACACUAAAAUAUCUUCAGCCAUAAAACCAUAAACUUCAAGCUUAUCUCCAAGACAUAAAAGAGUGACUACCAUCAAUUAAGAGCAAUUAAAUCAGACAUAACAAGGCCAUUUAUUACCUAUAUCAUAAAUUGUUAAGUGGUUCCACUACCUCAGACAAUUGUUUGUAUAAACAUUGAAAAACAUUCCUGAAGCGAUAAUUUCUUUGUAUGUUUAGAUGCAUACCAGAUAUCUUCCCAUGUCUAAGAGACUGCAUAUGUUAUUCUGUGGCUGAAAUUUAUUGCAUUUCUUUUAUGUAUUCAGAUAUACACUGAGGAAUGUACCCUCUUGUUAUAUUUUAGAAUAAUAUUUCUCUGACAAUUGCGAUAAGCAGCAAUUAAGCUAGGAAUGUUUCAUAAAUCUGUGAUCUUCAAAGGAAAAUUUAGUAUAAAUAUUCCUGCAUUUUGGUAUCAAAUGAGCCUACGAGAGGCUCACUGUUGCUUGAAUCCCUAGAUAGCCUUGUAAGAUCCAGGUAACUAAGCGAGGUACCUCAGCUCUGCAUCAAAUAGGUUGCUUCAAUGUGUUGUAUCUAUGCUCUAUGUCAGGAUUUUAGAUCUGUUCUGCUUUAAGCUAUGUAAUGCCUUAACUUACUUUUCUUUUGAUUCUAU